rnacentral:tRNA from 1 species
AGUCUUAUAUUCAUAAAUGAUAUAAAAUUGCAAAUUUUAAGGUGUAAGAUUACUAAGGCUU